GAUGCAUGAUUUUAGGAAAUAAAUAGCACAUGGAUGCUUACAUCGCUAUCGCUUAGCAGCCACUAAGGAAAGGUAUUGAAACGGGUCAAUAUAUUGAUCCGAGCCAGGUUCUUUUUGGAUGCCGGAAGACGAUCAAGCUCAUCGAAGGACCGAACACGAUAAAGAUACAUGCUUCCGCACAUUUCCUCGUCGCAAAAUUUUAAACGACAAAUUUGAUCACUUAUGUUGAAUAACUUAUGAUUUGUAAAAGUUUUAAUAAACUCGUAUUUUUAUAGUAUGUGUAAACUUGAUUACA